CAGUCGCAGCGGUAAUACGAAGGGGGCUAGCGUUGCUCGGAAUCACUGGGCGUAAAGGGUGCGUAGGCGGGUCUUUAAGUCAGGGGUGAAAUCCUGGAGCUCAACUCCAGAACUGCCUUUGAUACUGAAGAUCUUGAGUUCGGGAGAGGUGAGUGGAACUGCGAGUGUAGAGGUGAAAUUCGUAGAUAUUCGCAAGAACACCAGUGGCGAAGGCGGCUCACUGGCCCGAUACUGACGCUGAGGCACGAAAGCGUGGGGAGCAAACAGGAUUAGAUACCCCAGUAGUCCCUGUCUCUUAUAC
rnacentral:rRNA from 1 species